GCCUGGAUGGCUCAGUUGGUUGAGCGUCUGACUUUGGCUCAGGUCAUGAUCCCAAGGCUCAUGAGUUCAAGCCCCACAUCAGGCU
rnacentral:tRNA from 1 species